rnacentral:misc_RNA from 1 species
UGAUGUAUCUUGGAUAAUAGAUCAGUGAAGAAGUGUCUCUCUUUCUCUCUCUAAAUUCUAUUGAUUCUCUCCCUAUUCUUUGUUCUUCCUGUUCUUGUGUUCCUGUAGCUGGAAAAUCAUGUAACAGGAUGUACGCUUACAGCUUGUGUGAAUUGGCUAGAUUGUGGUGGAGCACUGGAGCUGCGCAGAGAAAGAAAUUUCGGGAAAAGAAACGGGGAUGGGAAGAACUGAGGAAGCAAGGCUGCAAGGGUUUAUGGAGGGAUAGAAGGAGGGUAAGAGUUCUUCCAAACGCAGUUGUUUCAUCUUAUUUCGUUUCGGCUCCGUUGAACAGAAAAUUUUCUUUAAAUCCGUCGCUAAUUGCCCAGAUUUCUUUCCUCUCAUUUCCAGUUUCAGUUCAGGUAUGCUAUUUUAUUGUCAUGGAUAAUUGCAGCACAAUCCAUUAACCAAUUAUAACAGUGCUAAUUCUGCUUCAAUUGUUGAAAAACCCUGGAGUUUUUAUUCAGACAUUAUUGAUUAUAUGUUAUUGAAAUUCACAUUCCAAGCUAAUUUUCGAUGAACCCACCUGAAGCAGCAGGUGAUUUUGCAACUGAAACACAACUUGCAUGAACUUUUUCACUCUUCACCAAAUAAUGUAACAAUCGGGCCCUGAAAUCUGGACCAUGAGCAAUGUAGUUCACAAAUUUGUAAUGGCAAUUCUUUCCCAUCAGAAGAAGUAGAUAGCAGCAUUCAUCAGUAACAAUCCCACUCCCAAAAACUGCAUCGAAUAUCUCUUUUCCGCACGCUGGAGUAAUAUGCUUUGCACAUUCAUCCAAGAACUUGAACAAUCCUGGCCUUGAAACUGGCUCCUGCAAUGGUGUAGAAACACCAAAAUCAAUAGCAACUGUGAGUAUUGGAGAGAUUAGAAAUACUCCACUAGCCAAGAUCAGUGCUAAGAUGAUGGAAAAGUUGUUGAGUCCUUCCAUGUUUAUUCACGCCAAGAAAACUUCUUGAAGAUAAAUGAACUUGAUUAAGGAUUUAAGAGUGAUUUAUAGGGCUUAAGAGGUUGUGUAUGUUUG